rnacentral:rRNA from 1 species
UACGUAGGUCCCGAGCGUUGUCCGGAUUUAUUGGGCGUAAAGCGAGCGCAGGCGGUCUGUUAAGUCAGCGGUCAAAGCCCGGGGCUCAACCCCGGCCCGCCGUUGAAACUGGCAGUCUCGAGUUGGAGAGAAGUAUGCGGAAUGCGCGGUGUAGCGGUGAAAUGCAUAGAUAUCGCGCAGAACUCCGAUUGCGAAGGCAGCAUGCCGGCUCCACACUGACGCUGAGGCACGAAAGCGUGGGGAGCAAACAGG